AAGUCGUAACAAGGUUUCCGUAGGUGAACCUGCGGAAGGAUCAUUAAGGUAAAGUUGCUUAGUCUAUUCAUGUGAUCUCCCUAGGAUGAACUGGGAUGGGCUAGGUAACUAUAAAAAUUUCUAAGCGUAUCGUAUUGUAAAGCCACCUUAACUUGUUAAGGUGAUGAUAUAUUAACCCCUCUUAACAUUAAGUCAUACAAAACCAAAAGAAACAACUUUUAACAAUGGAUCUCUUGGCUCUC
rnacentral:misc_RNA from 1 species